rnacentral:rRNA from 1 species
UACGGGGGGAGCAAGCGUUGUUCGGAUUUACUGGGCGUAAAGGGCGCGUAGGCGGCGUGACAAGUCACUUGUGAAAUCUCCGGGCUUAACUCGGAACGGUCAAGUGAUACUGUCGUGCUAGAGUGCGGAAGGGGCAACUGGAAUUCUUGGUGUAGCGGUGAAAUGCGUAGAUAUCAGGAGGAACACCGGUGGCGAAGGCGGGUCUCUGGGCCGAUACUGACGCUGAGGAGCGAAAGCGUGGGGAGCGAACAGG